UCCUCCUUAGCUCAGUUGGUUAGAGCGGCUGGCUGUUAACCAGUAGGUCCCAGGUUCAAGUCCUGGAGGAGGAG
rnacentral:tRNA from 1 species